rnacentral:lncRNA from 1 species
AAGUUAUUCAAUCAGGUCCUUAUUCUUACAGGAAUAAGCCAAUAGUGUUGAAACCAUGGGAAAUUGAUUUCUCUUUCCAGAAGGACAUGCUGAGUACAGUUCCUGUGUGGAUUAGGUUUCCGGGACUACCUGUAGGCUAUUGGUCAACUGAUGCAUUGAGCAAGUUGUCUAGUGCAGUGGGGAAACCCUUGUAUACAGACAAGUUCACAGCUCAUUAUGAGAAAAUAUCUUAUGCUAGAGUGCUAGUGGAGGUUGAUGAUGCAUACCCUCUACCUAAUCAGAUAGAGAUUGAGACUCAUUUUGGGCUUAAAACUCAGAUGAUUGAUUAUGACUGGAAGCCUAUCUAUUGCAAUCACUAUCUGAAAUAAUAGAGAUUGAGACUCCUUUUGGGCUUAAAACUCAGAUGAUUGAUUAUGACUGGAAGCCUAUCUAUUGCAAUCACUAUUUGAAAUUUGACCAUGAUUCUAUAGAUUGAUGGUAUAAUACUAGCUUUGAUGAAGAACAGGAGCUGGACGAAGGGGGUAAGCCAAAGAGACAGAGGAUCAGAAUGAAAAAGUAUGUAAAACCAGUAAAGCAAGAAUGGCUGGUUAAAAAGGAUCGAGAUAGAGCAGAACUAAAUGCACAGGAGCAAUUACCAGAACAAUCAGCUAAUAAGGAAACUGAGGGGUUGGGGGAAACCACAAUUACAAUGGUGAUUACUCAACAGGAUGAAAAGUAAAGUACUGACAUUCAGGAACAGAAUGAAACAAUAAAUAGUGAAUCUAUUUACAGCAUUGAGGUAAUGGAAGAAAAUAGCAGAAAUGGCAAGGCAAUUGUUGAAGGGGUAGAUGGUGGAAGAAGGAUAGCAAAUUGACCCUGGACCUUCUCAGUACCUAAAUCCAAAGUUGAUAUGAUUAUUGUCACUUGGGAUAUUAGGGGACUAAACCUAGCCAUAAGCAGAAAGAGUUGAAGACCUUUCUUGCUGUAAAUAAAGUAGAUAUUCUGGGUUGUAUAGAGACUAGAGUUAAGGAACAUAAAGCAAAGAAAAUACAAGGAAAGAUUGCAAAAGGAUGGAAUGUCCAUUGCAAUUAUUCAAAGGCUGUUAAUGGGAGAAUUUGGCUUCUUUGGAAACCUCAUAUCCAUCUUCAAGUUUCCCAAGUGACUGAAUGGGAGAAUUUGGCUUCUUUGGAAACCUCAUAUCCAUCUUCAAGUUUCCCAAGUAACUGAUCAAUUCAUUCAGUGCUUCAUUGAAGAUUCCAACACUCAAUUCAAAACUCACUUCUGUGUCAUUUAUGCUCAGAAUGAUGGCAACCAAAGAGAACAGUUGUGGAGUGAUCUGAGGCAAAUACAUAUACCUGGCAAGGACAAUUGGCUGCUGAGUGGUAAUUUUAAUAAUGUCUUAAGUUCUGAAGACAGAAUUGGUUCACCUGUAUCUGAUGCUGAAGUUAAAGGUUUUAGAAAUGUCAUUGAUGACUUGCAGCUUACUCCUCUCAGAGCAAAAGGUUGGCAUUUCACUUGGACAAACAAGCAGGAUGUUUCAUNNNN